rnacentral:rRNA from 1 species
AGAGUUUGAUCCUGGCUCAGAUUGAACGCUGGCGGAAUGCUUUACACAUGCAAGUCGAACGGCAGCGCGGGGGCAACCCUGGUGGCGAGUGGCGAACGGGUGAGUAAUACAUCGGAACGUGCCCAGUCGUGGGGGAUAACUACGCGAAAGCGUAGCUAAUACCGCAUACGAUCUCUGGAUGAAAGCGGGGGACCGCAAGGCCUCGCGCGAUUGGAGCGGCCGAUGGCAGAUUAGGUAGUUGGUGGGGUAAAGGCCUACCAAGCCGACGAUCUGUAGCUGGUCUGAGAGGACGACCAGCCACACUGGGACUGAGACACGGCCCAGACUCCUACGGGAGGCAGCAGUGGGGAAUUUUGGACAAUGGGCGCAAGCCUGAUCCAGCCAUUCCGCGUGCAGGAUGAAGGCCCUCGGGUUGUAAACUGCUUUUGUACGGAACGAAACGCGCUGAGUUAAUACCUCGGCGUAAUGACGGUACCGUAAGAAUAAGCACCGGCUAACUACGUGCCAGCAGCCGCGGUAAUACGUAGGGUGCGAGCGUUAAUCGGAAUUACUGGGCGUAAAGCGUGCGCAGGCGGUGAUGUAAGACAGGUGUGAAAUCCCCGGGCUUAACCUGGGAACUGCAUUUGUGACUGCAUUGCUGGAGUGCGGCAGAGGGGGAUGGAAUUCCGCGUGUAGCAGUGAAAUGCGUAGAUAUGCGGAGGAACACCGAUGGCGAAGGCAGGCCACUGGUCCAUUACUGACACUAAGGCACGAAAGCGUGGGGAGCGAACGGGAUUAGAUACCCCUGUAGUCC